rnacentral:rRNA from 1 species
UACCAGCACCCCCGAGUGGUCGGGACGAUUAUUGGGGCCUAAAGCAUCCGUAGCCGGUUUUACAAGCCUCCGUUAAAUCCAGCUGCUUAACAGAUGGGCUGCGGAGGAUACUAUAAGACUAGGGAGGCAGGAGAGGCAAGCGGUACUCAGUGGGGUAGGGGGUAAAAAUCCCGUUUGAUCCCAUUUGAAGACCCACCCAG